rnacentral:rRNA from 1 species
GGUUAGUCGGGUCCUAAGCUGAGGCCGACAGGCGUAGGCGAUGGAUAACAGGUUGAUAUUCCUGUACCACCUAUAAUCGUUUUAAUCGAUGGGGGGACGCAGUAGGAUAGGCGAAGCGUGCGAUUGGAUUGCACGUCUAAGCAGUAAGGCUGAGUAUUAGGCAAAUCCGGUACUCGUUAAGGCUGAGCUGUGAUGGGGAGAAGACAUUGUGUCUUCGAGUCGUUGAUUUCACACUGCCGAGAAAAGCCUCUAGAUAGAAAAUAGGUGCCCGUACCGCAAACCGACACAGGUAGUCAAGAUGAGAAUUCUAAGGUGAGCGAGCGAACUCUCGUUAAGGAACUCGGCAAAAUGACCCCGUAACUUCGGGAGAAGGGGUGCUCUUUAGGGUUAACGCCCAGAAGAGCCGCAGUGAAUAGGCCCAAGCGACUGUUUAUCAAAAACACAGGUCUCUGCUAAACCGUAAGGUGAUGUAUAGGGGCUGACGCCUGCCCGGUGCUGGAAGGUUAAGAGGAGUGGUUAGCUUCUGCGAAGCUACGAAUCGAAGCCCCAGUAAACGGCGGCCGUAACUAUAACGGUCCUAAGGUAGCGAAAUUCCUUGUCGGGUAAGUUCCGACCCGCACGAAAGGCGUAACGAUUUGGGCACUGUCUCAACGAGAGACUCGGUGAAAUCAUAGUACCUGUGAAGAUGCAGGUUACCCGCGACAGGACGGAAAGACCCCGUGGAGCUUUACUGUAGCCUGAUAUUGAAAUUCGGCACAGCUUGUACAGGAUAGGUAGGAGCCUUUGAAACGUGAGCGCUAGCUUACGUGGAGGCGCUGGUGGGAUACUACCCUAGCUGUGUUGGCUUUCUAACCCGCACCACUUAUCGUGGUGGGAGACAGUGUCAGGCGGGCAGUUUGACUGGGGCGGUCGCCUCCUAAAAGGUAACGGAGGCGCUCAAAGGUUCCCUCAGAAUGGUUGGAAAUCAUUCAUAGAGUGUAAAGGCAUAAGGGAGCUUGACUGCGAGACCUACAAGUCGAG